rnacentral:rRNA from 1 species
GAUGAACGCUGGCGGCGUGCCUAAUACAUGCAAGUCGAGCGAACAGACGAGGAGCUUGCUCCUCUGACGUUAGCGGCGGACGGGUGAGUAACACGUGGAUAACCUACCUAUAAGACUGGGAUAACUUCGGGAAACCGGAGCUAAUACCGGAUAAUAUAUUGAACCGCAUGGUUCAAUAGUGAAAGACGGUUUUGCUGUCACUUAUAGAUGGAUCCGCGCCGCAUUAGCUAGUUGGUAAGGUAACGGCUUACCGAGGCAACGAUGCGUAGCCGACCGGAGAGGGUGAUCGGCCACACUGGAACUGAGACACGGUCCAGACUCCUACGGGAGGCAGCAGUAGGGAAUCUUCCGCAAUGGGCGAAAGCUUGACGGAGCAACGCCGCGUGAGUGAUGAAGGUCUUCGGAUCGUAAAACUCUGUUAUUAGGGAAGAACAAAUGUGUAAGUAACCAUGCACGUCUUGACGGUACCUAAUCAGAAAGCCACGGCUAACUACGUG